rnacentral:rRNA from 1 species
CACCGGCGGCCCGAGUGGUAGCCGUUUUUAUUGGGUCUAAAGGGUCCGUAGCCGGCCUGAUAAGUCCUUUGGGAAAUCUGGCAGCUUAACUGUCAGGCUUCUAAGGGAUACUGUCAGGCUUGGGACCGGAAGAGGUAAGGGGUACUCCAGGGGUAGGAGUGAAAUCUUGUAAUCCCUGGGGGACCAUCUGUGGCGAAGGCGCCUUACCAGAACGGGUCCGACGGUGAGGGACGAAAGCUAGGGGAGCAAACCGG